rnacentral:rRNA from 1 species
GACGAACCGUGCGAACGUUAUUCGGAAUCACUGGGCUUAAAGGGCGCGUAGGCGGUCCGGCGCGUCCGGGGUGAAAGCCUCCAGCUCAACUGGAGAAGUGCCCCGGAUACGGCCGGACUCGAGUGGGGUAGGGGCGUGUGGAACUUCCGGUGGAGCGGUGAAAUGCGUAGAUAUCGGAAGGAACGCCGGUGGCGAAAGCGGCACGCUGGACCCCUUCUGACGCUGAGGCGCGAAAGCCAGGGGAGCGAACGGG